GGCCCUCCUACACCUGAAUAAAUCUUAAGAAAGAAAAUAAAGCUUCAUGGCUUGCAAGUCCCUAUUAAGGAACUACCAGUGCUGGAGUUCUUGGCAUCAAAACCUCAUCUCUAUAAGGGCGUGAGCAACACCAUUUACACUGGAUUUUUACCUGAAGUACUAUGAUACACAUAAGAAUGUCUGAUGUGAAAGGGAAUUGGAAUAUAUAACUGAAUUCUAAACCUUGUUAAAAGCUCGGAAGGAACAGAAAGCAGUGAGAUGAUAUUUCAUUGCAGAGAGACGAAUAGGUAAUAUUACCAGCUGGUGCUAUUUGGAAGAAUGAAAUAAGUCAGAGUGUUCUGGAUAUGCUACACUUGUUGACAAAGAUGUAUAAGCAAAGUACAUUGUGGUUUGUUCAUGGAUUAAACAAUUCAGCAUUUUGGACCUAAUCUGGAAUGACGUUGCUGCUUUAGGUGGUGUUUUGAUGCUCAGAAGAUCACGGACUACUCAUUGUCUGCAUGGCUCACAGAAGUAAUAGGGUAGGAAACCCAGCCACGUUUUCAAAAGCCUUUUGAAAAUAAUGCUUUUGGUUUUGAUCUUACA
rnacentral:lncRNA from 1 species